rnacentral:lncRNA from 1 species
CCAAUUUAUAUCAUUGCUCUAGACGUAAAUCUACUGCCGUCACUGAGCAUUUUAAUUUCAGAAGGCAUGUCUGGACCUUAUUCUAUCAUUCUAACAUCCGGAUUCAAGCUCAAAUGGAAUUUGAGGGUCUUUAUGAGAUGCUUCCCUUAGUUCCUAAUCAAGAGGUAAGGACAAAUUUGUGUGCAACCUCAAUUCCUUGGGUGGCUUCUCCACUGCCUCCUUGUACAAAUUUUUGAUCUUUUGAGAUGUUAGAUGGGCCCCUACCAAUUUAGUUUGGAAUCUUACUGCUCCUCUGAAGGUUAAAUGUUUUCUCUGGCUCGCUGUCUCCUACAAACUAAAUACUAAAGAUCUCCUUUAGAGAAAAC